GACGAACGCUGGCGGCGUGCUUAACACAUGCAAGUCGAACGGAAAGGCCCUGCUUUUGUGGGGUGCUCGAGUGGCGAACGGGUGAGUAACACGUGAGUAACCUGCCCUUGACUUUGGGAUAACUUCAGGAAACUGGGGCUAAUACCGGAUAGGAGCUCCUGCUGCAUGGUGGGGGUUGGAAAGUUUCGGCGGUUGGGGAUGGACUCGCGGCUUAUCAGCUUGUUGGUGGGGUAGUGGCUUACCAAGGCUUUGACGGGUAGCCGGCCUGAGAGGGUGACCGGCCACAUGGGGACUGAGAUCGGCCCAGACUCCUACGGGAGGCAGCAGUGGGGAAUAUUGCACAAUGGGCGGAAGCCUGAUGCAGCAACGCCGCGUGCGGGAUGACGGCCUUCGGGUUGUAAACCGCUUUCGCCUGUGACGAAGCGUGAGUGACGGUAAUGGGUAAAGAAGCACCGGCUAACUACGUG
rnacentral:rRNA from 1 species